rnacentral:rRNA from 1 species
CGGUUGAUCCUGCCGGACCUGACUGCUAUCGGAUUGAUACUAAGCCAUGCGAGUCAUUGUAGUAAUACAAGGCAGACGGCUCAGUAACGCGUAGUCAACCUAACCUAUGGACGGGAAUAACCUCGGGAAACUGAGUAUAAUGCCCGAUAGAACAUUAUGCCUGGAAUGGUUUAUGUUCCAAAUGAUUUAUCGCCGUAGGAUGGGACUGCGGCCUAUCAGUUUGUUGGUGAGGUAAUGGCCCACCAAGACUAUUACAGGUACGGGCUCUGAGAGGAGUAGCCCGGAGAUGGGUACUGAGACACGGACCCAGGCCCUAUGGGGCGCAGCAGGCGAGAAAACUUUGCAAUGUGCGAAAGCACGACAAGGUUAAUCCGAGUGGUUUCUGCUAAAGGAACCUUUUGUUAGUCCUAGAAACACUAACGAAUAAGGGGUGGGCAAGUUCUGGUGUCAGCCGCCGCGGUAAAACCAGCACCUCAAGUGGUCAGGAUGAUUAUUGGGCCUAAAGCAUCCGUAGCCGGCUCUGUGAGUUUUCGGUUAAAUCUGUACGCUCAACGUACAGGCUGCCGGGAAUACUGCAGAGCUAGGGAGUGGGAGAGGUAGACGGUACUCAGUAGGAAGGGGUAAAAUCCUUUGAUCUAUUGAUGACCACCUGUGGCGAAGGCGGUCUACCAGAACACGUCCGACGGUGAGGGAUGAAAGC